CCUACGGGUGGCAGCAGUGGGGAAUAUUGGCCAAUGGGCGCAAGCCUGACCCAGCAACGCCGCGUGAAGGAUGAAGGUUUUCGGAUUGUAAACUUCUGUCGCGAGGGACGAAGAAUGACGGUACCUCGUAAGAAAGCCCCGGCUAACUACGUGCCAGCAGCCGCGGUAAUACGUAGGGGGCAAGCGUUGUCCGGAAUGACUGGGCGUAAAGGGAGUGUAGGCGGCUUAUCAAGUCAGAAGUGAAAACCCAGGGCUCAACCUUGGGACUGCUUUUGAAACUGAGUAGCUAGAGUGCAGGAGAGGUAAGCGGAAUUCCUAGUGUAGCGGUGAAAUGCGUAGAUAUUAGGAGGAACACCAGUGGCGAAGGCGGCUUACUGGACUGUAACUGACGUUGAGGCUCGAAAGCGUGGGGAGCAAACAGGAUUAGAUACCCUUGUAGUC
rnacentral:rRNA from 1 species